CCUUACUACCCUCCUUUCCCCCUCUCUUCAGCAAGCUGACAAGAGAGAGUGGUACUGACUUCCCUAUCCCUGCUGUCCCACCAGGGACAGAUCCAGAAACUGAGAAGCUCAUCCGGGAGAAAGAUGAAGAGCUGCGGCGGAUGCAGGAGAUGCUACACAAAAUCCAAAGACAGAUGAAGGAGACUCACUAACUGGCUUUUGGACCUGAAUAUUUAAAUCUCUUCUACCAGCCCACGCCGGCCUCUCUCCCUGCAUCAGCUCUGCUCAGGCCCCCUGCAGCUCCUACCAGUUCGCCUUAUAUCCCUGCUGACUUCUCAGAGACUCAGAGGAAAUAAACUAACCUAUAUGUGGC
rnacentral:sRNA from 1 species